GAUAAAUUUAAAAUUUAGAUAUUUCAACUUCAUUCCUCAAUAUUGAAAUUAAGAAGUACACUAGUGUAGAAAACUUUGCAUCUUAAGCAACAUUUUGAAGGUAGGAAAAAAUGUGGAAUGCCUUAGAUUUAUCCAACGUUUUUAGCACUACCCUCCUGAAAUUUCUAGGUUUUUUUCAUUUUUUUGGUACCUAGGUCUGAGAAUUUUGAAGCUCUUAGGAUGAAAAAUUAGGGGACAAAGACUUUCCAAAUUCCUGUAUAUCCUGAAGCAAGCUAAUUUCAUGAAAAUUGAUCCUGCAACUGUUGUGUUCAGGACUUUUCCCUUGGAGUGUUUUUUUUCAAAAGAUCAGUGUCCACAUUUGUUUGCUAAUACAGUUUUGUUUUUCUUGUUGAAGAGUAUUAUCCAGUCCAAACUUUAUGAAGACUCUUACACAGCGCAUUGUCAGUGGAAAUAUCAGCAAAAACUUUGAAAAACCAUCCAGAGGGAAUCUCAGGGCUAGUUUGAAACUCCUCCGAUCUCAAGUCACAACUUUGGAGGUGGAACGAUCUGCUUUACGAGCAACUUGUGCCCAGUUAUCAGCUGAAAAAGAGGAGGCAAUGCAAAGUCUGGACUAUUUCAAAGAAAAUUAUGAUCGAUUGCUGAGGGACCAGAUAAAUUUAGAAAAACAACAGGAACUGCUAGUCACUAAAAACGAUGAACUCUUGUCAAGAUGGAGACACACUCAGCGAGCGUUUAAUGCCCUUUCAACAGAAACAAGGUUUCUCAGGGAAGAAAAUUCUGCACUCAGGGAACGGAUCAACGCUCACGAAGCCUUGGAUGAAAAAAAUGAGUCUUAGGAUUCAAGAAACUUUGCUUUUUGCAAGAAAUACUUUUAAUUUGAAGGUGCCUCAAUUGUAUACGCUGUUGCUCAAGCUGAAUUGUUUUCAGAACCAUCAGCCCUGAAGAAUUGGAGAUUGGUUGGAAAGCUAGCCGAGUCUCACCACAAUGUUUUUUCUUUCUGUUUUAAUUGCUAAUAUUAGUAACUAUUACAUGCUGUGAUAUUUAUUUUAUUAUGUUUGUUAUUUAAUUUAGAUUAAAUUUAGUACUUGGAUUUAACUAAAUGUCCCUUGGCAUAGAAAAAAAUAGUCUGAAAUGAAGCAGUAUGUGAAUAAGAACCCUAUUGAAUAGCCAUUGUCUGGUUGUGUUUUAGAUUUUCAACCAGUUUUCAGCUUUUGCUAAUACACAGGAAUUUCUGUGCUGUAUAGUAACCACUGAUUUCACUUGCAGAGUUGCCACUCUGAAGAAACAUAAAGAAAAUACUGAGACCGCAGACUGGAGGGAAACAAAGAGGCAAUAGGGAUAUACCGAGCAAGAGACCACAAACUCCCUAUUAAGGUGAUUCAUGGACGCCAUAUUUUGUGUCAGAACGGCAUGCGAUAUAUCGCAUCAAUUGGUUCCAUUUUUUCAGCUACUUGUCAUUUGUCUCCAAUUUUGAGAUCGCAAUUUUGUUGUCGGGAGACUAAAGCAUUCACUUACCAAAUUUUAACAAAGAAAUUCAACGUAAUAGAGGCGUGGUUUUUUUUUAGAGAGAAAAUAUCGCAUUCGAGUGCAGUUGCGAUAUAAGUAUCGAAUGUGAUGUUUUCUCUUCAAAAAAACCACGCCUUUAUUACGUUGAAUUUCUUUGUUAAAAUUGGUAAGUGAGUGCCUUAGUCUCCUGACAACAGGAUUGCGAUCUCAAAAUUGGAGACAAAUGACGAGUAGCUGAAAAAAUGGAACUAAUCGAUGCGAUAUAUCUCAUGCCGUUCUGACACAAAAUAUGGCGUCCAUCGAAUCACCUUAACAGUGUCUUCUAGUUUAAUUCAAUGGAACUGAAGCAUAUUACUCUUCUUAUUAUCCCACGCAAGUUUUUUUGGAUACGGGGAAAUUUUAUACAAUCGUUCUUGAGAUAUUUACCCAUAACAUCAGGAAAACUCAUUGGAAUUUGUCAUUAAAUGCCUAUUUUCAUUAAACUGAAUAUUCCUUUGAGGAGUUAGAACCUUUGACUGGCCUAUCCCUUGUUCUCUCCUCUUGCCUUUUAUUUGCUACUUUCUCUCAACAACUUUCAAUUCUUAAUGCCAUUUUAACAAUUUAUGUAAUCCUCAUUAUUACUUAUUCUUAUUUUUGUUUCUGAUUCUAUGCUCCCUCUCACAAAUAGAUGGUCAAAGUGUAAAACCUUGUAUCUCCAUCGUGAUGUUUCAAAAUUUCCAUUAUUUAUUUUUUGAAUAGAAACAAGCCAACAUUAUAGCUUGACAUUUAUACAGAAGAUAUAUUUUUCUAACAGCAGAAUACUCCAGGAUAUUUACCACAAAUUACAUUGACAAGUUUUCCAAACGAAAAAUAAGUAUGACAAGAAAUGUGCUAUAUCGCAAAUAGAGAUAGGUGGUCUCGCACUUUGGCCAUCAAUAUAAAUUUUUUUAGCUCAUUUUCAAGAGCCAGUCUCAAAGUACUUUUGAAUCACACCAAGUGAUUUUUUUUAAAUACUUCACAAUCACAAAUAUCUUGAAAAUGGCACCCUAAAUCUUCGAGCACUCAGCAGAACUUUAGUGCUGGAGGUCGCCUGAAAGGCAGACUCUUCCUAUAUGAGUCCUGUAGUUUUUUUUAUGAACUAAGGUGGUUUCACUUCAGUCAAGUAAAAAAAAAAUGAACUAGUAGAAAUGAAAGUUUUCAAACUUGGCGGUAGUGUUAUUUAUUUGAGGUCAAUGCUUACACCUCAAAAACAUAUACAAUCGUACUGUGGACAUCUCUGUCAAUGUGUAACGAUACAACUCUGUACUUAGCACUGAUGGAUGCAGCAAUCGUAGCUUGUAAUGUAUUUAGAGUCACUGAAGCGUCACCAAUCCUAUGGCCUAAUCCACGCUGGCACAGUUUGCGGAACUUUGGGUGAACUUGUUCCAGGAACUUAUUAUAAGUUAGCUUCAACUUGUUCAUGAAUUAAUUCGCUCAAAUUGCGCUCGUGUGGACAAGGCCUAUGUUCUGAAAGUUACCGAGACCUUAUAGGUUUGCCAAGUUACCCAAUGAUCCAGUCUAUAAUCAAGCCAGCCCUUAAGGCACCUAAAGUUAAGGUCAUUAUCAAAAUUUUGUUGUAAUGUUUUCGGUUUUCUGCUUUCAUCUUAUUCUUUCAAUUUAUGAAUUAGUAGCUGAGGAUUUUAUUUUCCUUUUCAAAAUUAUCAAUAGCACCUACUUCUUUUUUUUAAUAUCAAUUUGAGGUGGUUGUUUUCAAUUAACUUUUUUAUUAUUGUUUUUAUCUGCAUCAUAUUUGAUAGUAUUGGUCAAUUUAUCCUGCCUAUCUGUUUACUGCCAAUCUUUGUCGAAAAUUUAAAUUUUAAAAUUCGUCAUCGAUAAAUCCACUCCUUUGUAAAAAUUGCUUUCAUACUCUUUCUCAUAUUCAUGUUUUCAUAUUUUCCUCUUCUUUCAGUUCAACCGAAUUUAAUGCAGAGUUCGCGUCGUUUUUUGGCAUCACUACUCUCAUACAUUCUUCAUUUGUAAUGUUAAAGUUAAUUUUUAUAUAGCAGAAGAGUUCUUUCAUUUAGUUUCUGAUCUUGUUUAGUUUUUAUUUAAUUUCUAAUUUUCUUAAAGAAAUAGUACCAAUUACAAGAAUAUUACGUUUAUAUCCUAUCAAAAAUAUAACCCAAUUUUUUUUUUUUUUAAUUUUUUCUUUUUCUUGUCGUAUGUAUCUUUGUUGUCAAACUGUGGUAAGCAAACAGUUUUAAAUCUAGAAUUUGAAGGGCUCAAACUGUAAAUAUUUAUCUGGUAGGAGCCUCAUAAAUCAGAUGUAACGUUUAAAAAAAGCAGUUCAUUUGAAUGGUAAAUCCAAGAAAUCAAACUUUGUAACCACUUGCCAGCAGUAAGAGCAAAAGUCAAUUGAAGUCUGGCAUGAAUUCCUAAUUUGAAGAAUUGGACAAUUUUUAGAUUUUUAUGAUACAAAAGCACUUUUUUAACAUGUUUUGAGAUGCAAUAUUGUAAUAUUGAAUCCUGUGUACCAUCAGUCAAAAUUAUUGAUUUUCGCCCAGAGUCCAUUUGUUCGAUGAGCUCUUCAUUUUCUCUCUUACUAUCUUUUUCUAUCUUUGUCAAAUAGAAAACAUCGUAGAUGAAAAAUGAGAAAAGCAAUUUUUGAAGCAAACCUGGAAGGUGUAUCAACUUGAGCAAAAAGGCUAUUUUUGUUCGUUCCUGCUUUACUUGAAGUAGGAACAUUUCUAAAUCACCAUCUUCAGAGUUCUGCAGAGAUUUUAUCAGUUGAUUCGCUUUUGGGUUAGUCUUUUUAUUUUUAUCAAUCCUCAUUUAGUUUUGUUUCUAGUAUCUAUAAUUUGUUUUUUGUAAAAUAUGCAAGCAGUUAUUAAUAUACUUCAUUGAUAGUUUGUACUACAUUCUCUUUUUACUCUAUUUAUUCACCGCUAAACUCUGAGAACAAGUAUCUCAAGUACAGCAUUUAAAAAUCUCUGCUCGUGCUGAAUUUUUUCAAAACUUCCAAACUAUUUGGGAUUUUCACAAAAUGAAUUCUUUCUAUUUUGAAGAAGAGUCACCAAAGUUUUUGAAAAAUGAUGUUGCUAGAUAGGUAUUCUUCCGAAAACGUUAAUCAUAACUGAGACUUUGCAAUGUUGCGAACUGAGGGACAUGUUGUAAAAUUUUAGCCUAUGUUUCUCUUCUUCCCUCCGUAUCCCCAAGAAAGAACCCAAGUAAUGGUUGGAAAAGAAAAACAAACAAACAAACAACCAACUAGUACGAACUUAUAUGCCUGUUGAUGGAGUUAG
rnacentral:lncRNA from 1 species